AUUGGCUACCAUACCACGUAGAAAGCAUCGGUUCUCGUCCGAAUACCGAAAUUAAACUGCGUCGGGGUGGGUUAGUACUUGCAAUAGUGACCGGCUGAGAAUACCCGGUGUUGCUGACU
rnacentral:rRNA from 1 species